UACGUAGGGUGCAAGCGUUGUCCGGAAUUAUUGGGCGUAAAGAGCUCGUAGGCGGCUGUCGCGUCUGCUGUGAAAACCCGAGGCUCAACCUCGGGCCUGCAGUGGGUACGGGCAGACUAGAGUGCGGUAGGGGAGACCGGAAUUGCCUGGUGGUAGCGGUGAAAUGCGCAGAAUAUCAGGAAGAACACCCGUGGCGAAGGCGGAUUCUC
rnacentral:rRNA from 1 species